GCCUGCGUAGCACAGUGGUAGAGCAUUUCACUUGUAAUGAAAAGGUCCGGUGUUCAAACCACCGCGGAGGCA
rnacentral:tRNA from 1 species